rnacentral:pre_miRNA from 14 species
CUUUCGUAACCCCAUUGGAAGAACAACAGUGUUGAAAGACCCCCAGAGCGGGGAGACCCUCACUCAAGUCUCGGGAUGAUGCGAUCCCCACAAGAACUCACAUGAGACC